UACGGAGGGUGCGAGCGUUGUCCGGAAUCACUGGGCGUAAAGGGCGCGUAGGCGGCAGGCCAAGCGUGCGGUGAAAGUCCGGGGCUCAACCCCGGAUCGGCCGUGCGGACUGGUUUGCUGGAGCACUGUAGAGGCGAGUGGAAUUCCGGGUGUAGCGGUGGAAUGCGUAGAGAUCCGGAAGAACACCGGUGGCGAAGGCGGCUCGCUGGGCAGUGGCUGACGCUGAGGCGCGACAGCGUGGGGAGCAAACAGG
rnacentral:rRNA from 1 species